GCCUGGGUGGCUCAGUCAGUUGAGUGUGUGACUUCGGUUCAGGUCAUGAUCUCGUGGUUUGUGGGUUCAAACCCCACGUCAGGCU
rnacentral:tRNA from 1 species